rnacentral:rRNA from 1 species
GAGUUUGAUACCUGGCUCAGAUUGAACGCUGGCGGCAGGCCUAACACAUGCAAGUCGAGCGGAUGAAGGGAGCUUGCUCCUGGAUUCAGCGGCGGACGGGUGAGUAAUGACCUAGGAAUCUGCCUGGUAGUGGGGAUAACGUCCGGAAACGGGCGCUAAUACCGCAUACGUCCUGAGGGAGAAUGUGGGGGAUCUUCGGACCUCACGCUAUCAGAUGAGCCUAGGUCGGAUUAGCUAGUUGGUGGGUAAAGGCCUACCAAGGCGACGAUCCGUAACUGGUCUGAGAGGAUGAUCAGUCACACUUGGAACUGAGACACGGUCCAGACUCCUACGGGAGGCAGCAGUUGGGGAAUAUUGGACAAUGGGCGAAAGCCUGAUCCAGCCAUGCCGCGUGUGUG